AGAGCGCGCGGCUCGGCGCACGCGCAGCAGCCGCUACGGCAGCCGCCGGGAACCCGCUUGGUAGGGGCGGGGCCUCAGGCCACCAGACCCUGGGAGCCGGGUUCGGCUUGGGUCUCCCAGAGCCAGCGCGCGGACCUGGAGACCUCACGAUGCUGCCUGUCUCGGUCUGUGAAGCUGGCCUCGUCUUAAAGCUCCUGAAGACUGAACCCGUGGCGUAUGAAUCUUUGCCACUCUCGUUCUCCGUCCAACGACCAGGCAAUGACUUAUUCUUGGAAUGACAGCAUUGACCAUCACAGUAAGGAAAACUAAUAGAAUCUGUACAAAGUAAAAGAAUUACCUAAAUGAAACUGAAUCCAGGAAGUCUUCUUUGGCGGAUUUCCCAGUACAGCAGUGCCAGCCUGAACAGAAGACUAGGAUACUGCAAAUUGUAAUUCAGUCGUGAGUAAGAGCUUUGUCUAGGAAGAAUAAAGGAAAUACAAAGAUGCCAACCUAAGACUGCUGUUCCUGGACACUGUCCUGUUAAGAAUUUACAAAGAGGAUUAGUUCUCAUUAUAAAUAACAGAUAUGAACAGGUAUUUUUACAUUGUCACUGAGAUGACAACUCCUAUGAAUGAUUUAAGAUAGUGGAUUAACAUCACACUAUAGUGACACAGCCACAUCAAUGUUUGUAGCAGAUCAAUUCACAAUAGCUAAGCAAUGGAACUAGCCUAGGUGACCAUCAACAGAUGAAUGGAUACAGAAAAUGUGGUGUAUACACAGUGGAAUAUUACUCAGCCAUAAAGAAGAAUGAAAGUAUGGCAUUUGCCAGUAAAUGAAUGGAACUGAGACUAUCAUGCUGAGAUAAGGCAAUCCCAAAAAACCAAAGGCCAAACAUUCUCUCUAAUAUGCAGAUGCUAAUACCCAAUAAGGGGGUUGGGAGGGAAGAAUAGAAGUUCAUUGAAUUAGACAAAGGGGGAUGAAGAGAAGGAAGAGGGAACAGGAAUUGGAAAGACAGUAGAAUGAAUCAGACAUAACUUUUCUGUGUUUAUAUGCAAAUGCACAACCAGUGUAACUCCACAUCAUGUACAAUCACAAGAAUGGGAAGUUAUACUCCAUAUAUGUAUAAUAUAUCAAAAUACUCUCUACUGUCAUGUCUAUCUAAAAAGAACAAAUUUUAAAAAGAUGGUGGAUUAAAAAUUUAGUUUCAAUAAUGAAGUUGGAAGACUCAUACUCCCUGAUUUUAAAACUUACUACAAAGCUACAAUAAUCAAAACAGUGCAGGAGUGGCAUAAAGACAGAGAGUCCAGAAAUAAACUGUUGCAUACAUGUUCAAAUGAUUUUUUUUUCAAAUGAUUUUUAAUAUGAGUGUAAGACCAGUCAAUGGAGAAAGGACAGACAUUUCAACAAUAAUUCUGGGAAAACUGAAUAUCAACAUGGAAAACAAUGAAGUUGCAUUCUUACAACAUCAAUAUCUGACAUCAUAUUCAAUUUAUAAUUCAAAAUGGGUCAAAGAUCUAAGCAUUAAAAUCAAAACUACAAAAUUCUUAGGAGAAAACACUGAAUAAAACUUUAUGACAUUGUAUGUGGCAAUAAUUUCUUAGAUAUACACCAAAAGCACAGACAGCAAAGGAAAAAAAUCAAUAAAACUGGACUUAAUCAAAAUUAAAUUUUUGUGUAUCAAAGGAUACCUCCAAUAGAGUGAAAAAGCAACUCAUAGAAUGGGAGGCAAUAUUAGCCAACAUUUAUCUGAUAAGAUAAUAAUAGCUAGAAUAUAUAUAAAGAAUUUCUACAACAUAAAAACAACCCAAUUCAAAAACAGAAAAAGGACUUGAAAUUAUUCAAAGAGAAUAAACAGAUAGUCAAAUCACCACAUGAAAAGAUGCUCAAAAUCACUAAUCAUUAGAGAUUGCAAAUCAAAGCCAUGAUUACAUACAAUUUCAUAUCUAUUAGGGUAGCUAUCAUUAAGAAUGAGAGAAAGAAGGCGAGGUGCAGUGCAGUGAGGGACACCUGUAAUCCCAGCGGCUCAAGAAGCCAAAGCAGGAGGAUUGCAAGUUCAAAGCCAGCCUCAGCAAAAGUGAGGCACUAAACAACUCAGUGAGACCCUGUCUCUAAAUAAAAUACACACACACACACACACAAAAAAAAAAAAAAAUAGGUCUGGGGAUGUGGCUCAGUGGUUGAGUGCCCCUGAGCUGAAUCCCGGAUAGCCCCUCACCCCCCAAAAAAAGAAGAGAGAGAAGCAAGGCAGGAGCAAAUAAGGGAGGAAUGGCAAGAACAAGGAAGAUCCAAUUUCAACAAGGAUGUGGAGAAAUAGAACACUUAUGCAUUGUUGGUUGUAAUGUAAAAUGGUGCCACUGCUAUAGAAAAUAGUAUGGAGGUUCCUCAAAAAAUUAAUAUAUUGGGGCUGUGGUAGAGUGCCGCAGUCUGGCUGGGCACAAAUCACGAGCCACUGAAGCAGGAACAAACUUUAUUUUUGAACUGCAGGAAAACACUUCACACAGCUCCCGGGGAAUCCUCCCAAACGCCACGCGGCUCGUCCAGGAACCCCCAGCCGGAAAUAUCUCUCCCGGAAAUCCCUCCUCCUGCACUUCCCCAACCAAUGGGAACUCUCGGGGAAUCCCCGGAAAUCCCCACGAGAACUCCAAAAUAGUGCGAGAACUCAAAAGUUGCGACAGAGGCGGAUAGUAAUGCCUCGCCUGUCAAUCAAUACUGUUGGCAAAAUGCCAGGGGCCAUACAGACUCAGCCGUGGCUCUCAGCAUCUCCCCCUUUUUGUUUAAUUAAACAACAAGCAAUGUGGCUUAGGGACCGUGCCUGUUAGGCAGUCCAAUUCAACAUAUGGUCCUUACCCGUCAUCGGAUGAACUGACCUCUAGGCGUCAGCCUCCUGUCUUAGGUUGGUACCACUGCAAUUGGAUCAUACCCGUCACUGACUACCGGUCCAGCAUACAGCCAUACUUGUGGAUAGGCCUUUGCACCAGUGGGGGGGGUGAGGUUCUUUGCCUCACCUCUGUUGGCCCCCAAAUUUUAGAACAUCACUAGUAGAAGGGAGGAGGAUGCAAAAUGCCAUGACACUAAGCCAAUUGAGGGCUCCUUUGAAAAAUUGUACCACCGGUGACACCAUCAGCAAAAAUACUCCAGCACUACCACAAUUCGCUGUACCAACAGAUAGUUCACAAUGCAUACAAGUGAUACAUAGUCCAGGCAAGUUCUGCAAGCAAUUCAAAGCAGAGGAAUCUGUCAAUAUGUCCAUUUCCUCCCAAAGUAAAUCGACUCCUUAAUUGAGCAUUACUUGUUGAGUUAUUAUUCAUUGAUGCAUCAGUUUUUACAGUUUGUUGUGAUAACUAUCGAAGAAGCUGUAGUUUGGUUUUAUCUUUGUCUUCACCGGCACUGGGAUGAAGAUAGGAAUUCUGGCAAUGAUGCUAAGAAAAAAAUUAUGUAACAUUCCAACAGGCACUAAGAAAACAAUUUUUUGAACAAUUUACAUUAUCCUGAACAGAACUAUUAAAUAUAAUGAGAAGGAAAGGUGAAAGUAAACAAACAGAUCUGUUAACCUCCUUAUUUGUUCACAUAUUAAAACAAUUUUCAACAGCUGUUUACCCAAUCUAAAUUAAACCAUUAAAAUCACAUGAAUAAAAAAAUUCGGAUCUAUUUAUUCAUGAGCGCUCCUCAUAUAUGAUAUAUGGACAUACGCACAUACAGACAUACAACACAAAACAGAAGUGUGCACACAUAACAUACAACAAUAAGACAAUAGUAAAGGCCUUGUAGCUUUACCUAGGUGAAAUCUCCAUUGCAAUGCUUAAAAACUCCACAGUCAAAAAAUAAAACUGAUCAGAAAAACAUUAACCUAGGUCUGUAUGAGCUCGAAAAUAAAAUAGAACUUUAUGAUGUGGGAAAAGGCAAAUAAUAAAAUAAAUAUUGAAAAAAGCAUCCUGGUUAAUCACUGUCGCAGAUGUAAGAAUAGCCAAACUGGAGUUCUGGAUAUCAGCUAUUAUGGAUUUGAUUCAAAUCAUCUUACUUUUGGUCUGUAGAAAUUGUUUUAGUUAAUCUCUCUGGAAUCCAAAUCGGCUGCUGUUCUCCCUGUGGAAAAACACAAACAGAACCCCGACUCCAGACAAUCACUGGGUCAGGACCUUUCCGUUGUCCUGUUAGAAUAUCCUUCCAAAGUACCUUAGGCUUAUGUACAUUUUUUGGACACAUAUGCCUUUCCGCAGCACUAAGCCCUGAUGAAUCCAAAUUUAAAAAGUUUAGAGUAAAAAGGUUAUUUUAAGUUUAUCUUUGGGUGAUAUAUACCCCUUUCCAAUUCCCUCUUUUUGCUUUAGUAAGUACAUUUUAAUAGUUUGAUGAGCUCUUUCAACUAUGCCUUGUCCCUGAGGAUUGUAUGGGAUUCCUGUUAUAUGAGUAAUGCCAAAUGAUGAGCAAAAUUGUUUAAAAGAGGUAGAAGUAUAACCAGGACCAUUAUCUGUUUUUAACUGUUUUGGAACGCCCACAGUGGCAAAAUUUUGUAAGCAAUGAGCUAUAACAUCUUUAGUUUUUUCUCCGGAAUGAAGGGAGCCCAUCAAAAAUCCGGAAGAAGUAUCAAUUGUAACAUGCAAAUAUUUAAUUUUCCAAAUUGUGGCAAGUGUAUGACGUCCAUCUGCCAAAUAUGGUUAGGUAUCAGUCCUCUAGGAUUGAUUCCAAAAUUAACUUGUGGUAAAAAGGUCAUACAAUUUUGACAUUGUUUUAUUAUUUGUCUAGCUUGUUCCUUAGUUAUUUUAAAACGCUUUUGUAAAGUAUUAGCAUUGACAUGGAACCUUUUAUGAAAAUGUGUAGCUUCUUCUAGUGUAGAGAAAAUAUGUAUGUCAUGUGUAGUUUUAUCUGCUAAAUCAUUGCCCAAACUAAGGGCUCCAGGCAAUCCUGUAUGUGCUCUGAUAUGUCCUAUAAAGAAUGGAUCUUUUCUGUCCCAGAUUAGACUUUGUAUAGUGGAAAGCAAAGAGAAAACAGUAGAAGAAGGGGAAAUCCUACCAGCAUCUUCAAGAGAUACUAUAGCAUUAACUACAUACUGACUAUCAGGGAAUAAAUUAAAUACAGAAUCUUUAAACAUCACAAAAGCUUGUAAAACUGCAUUAAGCUCUACCUUUUGAGCUGAUUGUUUGGGUACUAAAAAUGUAAAAGUUUGAUCAGGGGUAACUACUGCUGCUGUACCAUUAUUUGACCCAUCAGUGAAUACAUUUGGAGCAUUCAUGAUAGGGGUUUUUCUUGUCAUUUUUGGAAAAACUACAGGAUGCGAAGACCAAAAAGACAACAAAGGAUUAGAUGCUCUAUCCAAAAUCUCCAACAAUGUCAUCAAGAUUUUUCUUAUUUCUUCUUUUGUUGUUGUUGUUGUCAUUGAGGAUUGAACCUAGGACCUUGCACAUACCAGUUUUCAGCAGACACAACAUCUUUGUUUGUAUGUGGUGCUGAGGAUCGAACCCGGGCCGCACGAAUGCCAGGCGAGCACGCUACAACUUGAGCCACAUCCCCAGCCCUAUAUGUUACAUUAUUAUUAACUGUAGUCAUUAUAUAGUGCAAUUGAUUUCAAAAACUUAUUCCUUCUGUCUAACUGAAACUUUAAACCUAUUAACUAAGCCUCAUGUAACCACCAUUCUAUUCUUCCCUAUUAUGAGUUUGACUUUUUUAGAUUCCACAUAUAGGUACCUGGUUUAUUUUAAUUACCAUAAUGACUGUCCUUCAGGUUCAUUCAUGUUGUUGCAAAAGGAAACUUCUUUUUU